CUGCCCUCUGUUGACAUUUUGAAAGAGAUCCUUGAUCAACAACAAAAGUCAACAAAAUUUUCAUUCAUUUUUAUGCGGGUUUUCCGCAACAACACUAAAGCAACACAGCAAGAGAAUAAGUCUGUCGUUUUAACUGAUUCAUUCUCGGGUACAAUGGGUGUUAAAGAGGUACACAUCGAGUAUUGUGGUGGGUGAGGUUACUAUCCCCGCUACAGGGAACUGCAGGACGACAUCAAGCGUUCAGUCCCUGGAGCGGUUGUGGAUGGCAAGGUCGGCAGGAGGUCUUCGUUUGAAGUAACUCUGAAUGGCCAGGUGUUGUUCUCUAAACUGAAAAAUGGAGGAUUUCCAGUCAACAAGGAGAUCAUCCGAUCUAUCACCGAGUACGAUGGGGGAGAUGUGGUACCAGUCACUCAGAGUGCUAGUGAAUGCACGGUAUUGUAAGACGGCAAAAUAAACAGACUACCCACUGGCUACUAGAAUGCAUCAGACUUGUCGCAAUAGACUUGUAUCAAGCUUUCACAAUGUUCAUCCUGUUCCCAGUACACAGGGAAAGGAAUCAUCAAUCGACCUUAUGUACAUGAUGAGGAGGGCGCCCUCGCCUAGAGGACAAAUGGAGUUUUUUCAUCGGCCAGCCCUUUGCGCCGUGCGUACAAAUCUGUGUAUUUCCAUGGUUUUGUCAUCAUAUUACCUCUAUGAUGGCGGCUGGAUGAUGUUGAUGCAUAAUUAUUAUACUGUUAACAAAAUAUAUGAUAAAGGCACUGUUUUCCAAAGCAGCCUGUUGAGGAAUAAGACAUCUCAAACACGAUAACAGUCUUUUAAAACUUUCCUCACUCUACAUUUGCAUGACCUUUCAGCACUCGGACAUUAGCAAACACUUGUGUCGACUGAUUUAAACAACUUCAGUUGUACUUUGUUAGUUCUUGUCUUUUACUUUCUCACUCUGGUUUUUCCAUAUGUUUCAAGGCAUGAUAUUCCCUCAACUUUAGUCUGGUUUGUUUUGUUGUUGCUUAUGGACAAAUCUGAAAAGUUGUGAUUCAAUAGCCUGAUAUGUCUAUUAGAGCCUAUACCACGUGUUCAUGGUAGGUCAACCCUUGUACUCAAUACCAUUCUCCUACUUAAUACCAGGAACAACGCCUGGUAAUCACACAGUGUUUCUGACUCCGAGUACCUUGUCAGAUCUGUCAGCCAAGUUCAUACUUCCUGCGAACUAUUCACUGCGAAUUUGUGACAUCAAAAUUUAUAUCGAAUUCGCAUAAGCAGGAAGUAUGAACCGGGCUUUAGUCUUAGGCUGUGUCAAAAACGACCACUUCGGCUACAGCUACGGCAAGAUCAGUGCGUCAUCCAGUUGAAUAGGCAGACGUGUGAUCAAGCCCGUAGCUGUUGCAGAAGUUGCCAGGUUUUUUUUACUUCAGGUUUUGACAACUGACUGGGAUAUCUUAUCUUUUUUUGAUGUUUUAUUAAAGAAAGACUGUAUGCGGUUUAAGGAGUUCUCCAUUCUUAGAGGACUAGCAAAAAAAAACUAUUUUUCUUCAGACAAUUUAUAUGCAUAUUUAUACAGUUGUGCAAUUCAAACAAAUAAUAUCUGUAAAAAAAAUGAGGUGAAACGCAGUCAGUCUAUAUAUAAGCCCAGAAUAAUUCUUCACUCAAUGCCAUUCAGGGGAAAAUAUGAAUAUGCAAAAGAUAUUUAACAACGUACAGCCAUGUUUUUUGUGUAUGCAAUGUGGACUAUUUCUCUCUUCCUUUGGUGACUGCUUUAUACUUCUUCCUAAAAAUUGUGAGAGCUCAUUGA